rnacentral:rRNA from 1 species
GCCUAUAGCCAUAGCACCCUGAACAUGCCUGAUCUACUCUGAUCAUAGAAGCUAAGCGGGAUGGGGCCUGGUUAUAGUAC